AGAGAGAGACAUGCGUGCAUAUCAAUAAGCGGAGGAAAAGAAACUAACUAGGAUUCCCUCAGUAACGGCGAGUGAAGCGGGAAGAGCUCAAAUUUGAAAUCUUCAAGGUUCUACCUUGACGAAUUGUAGUUUAAAGAAGUGUUUUCUGUUGGAGUUUUGGUAAAAGUUCUUUGGAAUAGGACAUCAUAGAGGGUGAGAAUCCCGUAUUUGACCAUUUACUUUCAGCUGUGUGAUACACUUUCAAAGAGUCGGAUUGUUUGGGAAUGCAGUCCAAAAUGGGUGGUAAAUUUCAUCUAAAGCUAAAUAUUGGCGAGAGACCGAUAGCGAACAAGUACCGUGAGGGAAAGAUGAAAAGAACUUUGAAAAGAGAGUUAAACAGUACGUGAAUAUUGUCAAAAGGGAAGCGUUUGACACCAGUGUUGUUUUUCUCGAAAAUCAAUUAAAGAAGCAUGAUUUAUGUAGUUGUAUUAGACUUUAUCAGCUUAUCUGCUACUCUUUUCUUGUCUUUUUUAAUGCACUUUUCAGUUAACAAGUCAACAUCAAUUUCUUUUGUUGUAAAAGGGUCAUUGGAAGGUGGCUUUCUUUUCGGAGAAAGUGUUUAUAGCCUUUGGCCUCUGCAAUCGGAGAGAUUGAGGUCUGCAGCGUAGAUCCUUCGGGGUUAGAUACAUUUGUGCUAAGUUAUAGCCUUUCAUAGACAACUUGUUGACUAUGAUCAGUCAUGUAGCUUACUCGCUUAUGCUAUUUUACCUACGCUUAGGAUGUUGAUGUGAUACUGCGAGCA
rnacentral:rRNA from 1 species